ACGGGAGGCAGCAGUGGGGAAUAUUGGGCAAUGGGCGAAAGCCUGACCCAGCAACGCCGCGUGAAGGAAGAAGGCCUUCGGGUUGUAAACUUCUUUUGCAGGGGGAUAAAGUCGGCCACGCGUGGCCGUUUGCAGGUACCCUGUGAAUAAGCAUCGGCUAACUCCGUGCCAGCAGCCGCGGUAAUACGGAGGAUGCGAGCGUUAUCCGGAUUUAUUGGGUUUAAAGGGUGCGCAGGCGGGCUGUUAAGUCAGCGGUGAAAUCUCCGGGCUCAACUCGGAAACUGCCGUUGAUACUGGCGGUCUUGAUUCGUGUCGAGGAUGGCGGAAUGCAGCGUGUAGCGGUGAAAUGCUUAGAUACGCUGCAGAACUCCGAUUGCGAAGGCAGCUGUCCAGAGAUGCAAUGACGCUCAGGCACGAAAGCAUGGGGAUCGAACAGGAUUAGAUACCCUGGUA
rnacentral:rRNA from 1 species